AGAGAGGAUUUCAGGCAAGCUGAGCUACUCUCCGUGACCUUGUCAGCCGGCUAAAUCUCUCUGGAGUCGAUGGCGUGCAUAUUAAGUUCAUCAGCGUAUGGGAGUGUCUUUGUGUCAGAUGCAGGCAGAGCGCGAGAGCUCAGGACUCUUAUCAACCAGUCAAUUACGAACAUUAACUGUCCUGACGGUGUUCUGAUUCAUGGACGCGCCUCACACGGAGAGCACGGCAGGCCACAGAUGAAGAGAUGGUUCAUCAUUAUAAACGAUGGCGCUCCUUGCAGCUGUCCUCACCGGAGCCUCAAGCCCAUCUGUCUCCAUAGAAGUUAUUUCCCAUAAUGCCUCUGUCCCUCAGAGCGGGAGCCGCUGACAGAGACGGAGAGCGGUCGUUCUGAAUGGCCGGCCGUGAAAAGGACAUUUUUCUCUUUCCACUUCCAGCAAAUGUCAUCAUCGGUCCAUCAAAGCCUGUCAAAGCUGAAGAUUGAUUGGCGGCUUCCUCCACCAAUGAGAGACGCGUCUGCUUUGUAAGUGUCCUGCAGCUGGGACCCAGUGUUAGUGUAGGAUUAUUUAUAAACUGUUAGAGUUUUUAUUAAUAAUUUGAAUUUGUUUUUAUUUUUAUAUUUUGUUUUCAUUUUAAUGUUUUAGUAAUGUGUUUAUGUGCUUUUGUAAUUUUUAUUAGUUUUGAGGUAUUACUAUUUAGG
ensembl:lncRNA